CCCUCUGAACUGAAACAUCUAAGUAGGAGGAGGAAGAGAAAGAAACAUCGAUUUCCUAAGUAGCGGCGAGCGAAAGGGAAAGAGGCCAAACCAGAGAUAGCAAUAUCUUUGGGGUUGCGGACUGCGUAAUUGAUUCAAUAUUUUUAGCAGAAGUGUAUGGGAAGACACACCAUAGUAGGUAAUAGUCCUGUAAGCGAAAGGGAUGUUAACAUGGCAGUAUCCAGAGUACCACCGGACACGAGGAACCCGGUGGGAAGCCGGGGGGACCACCCCCCAAGCCUAAAUACUACCUGAUGACCGAUAGUGAAAAGUACAGUGAUGGAAAGUUGAAAAGAACCCCGGAAGGGGAGUGAAAAAGAAUCUGAAACCCUAUGUUUACAAGCUGCUAGAGCACUUUAUAUGUGCGAUAGCGUACUUUUUGUAGAACGGUCCGGCGAGUGUAUGUUGCAAGCGAGGUUAAGGUGUUAAGCACUGAAGCCGAAGGGAGACCGAGUGUGAAUAGCGCGUACAGUUUGCAGUAUACGACCCGAAACCGGGUGACCUAACCAUGGACAGGUUGAAGUGGAAGUAAAAUUCCAUGGAGGACCGAACCCACGUCUGUUGAAAAAGGCGGGGAUGAGCUGUGGUUAGCGGUGAAAUUCCAAUCGAACUCGGAUAUAGCUGGUUCUCAUCGAAAUAGCUUUAGGGCUAGCCUCAGGAUAGUUUAGCGGAGGUAAAGCACUGAAUGGGCUAGGGGGCUUCACGGCUUACCGAACCCUAUCAAACUCUGAAUGCCGCAUAAAUGUUUCCUGGGAGUCAGACUGCGUGAGAUAAGUUUCGUAGUCAAAAGGGAAAGAGCCCAGACCUACAGCUAAGGUCCCUAAAUGAAUUUAAGUGGAAAAGGAUGUGCAGUUGCGUAGACAACUAGGACGUUGGCUUAGAAGCAGCCACUCAUUUAAAGAGUGCGUAAUAGCUCACUAGUCGAGAGUCCCUGCGCCGAAAAUGUCCGGGGCUGAAACACGACACCGAAGCUUAGGAAUGUGUAAACAUUGGUAGAGGAGCAUUGCUAGCGGGAUGAAGCCAUACCGUAAGGAGUGGUGGACUGCUAGGAAGAGAGAAUGCCGGAAUGAGUAGCGAGAUGAAGGUGAGAAUCCUUCAGGCCGAAUAUCUAAGGUUUCCAGAGUAAAGCUGAUCUGCUCUGGGUAAGUCGGGGCCUAAGGCGAGGUCGAAAGACGUAGUCGAUGGAUAACAGGUUGAAAUUCCUGUACUAUCCUGUAACAGAACUGUGGGGACACAGGCAGAGAGCGUGAGCCGGGAAUGGAAAGACCGGUACAAGCGAGGUAGGAGAAGAGUUGGCAAAUCCGCUCUUCAAUCUGAAGACGUGAUGUGGACCGAAAAGAAGUAGGGAAGCACGUGAGCUGACUGUCAAGAAAAGCCGCUAUUGUUUGCAGGAUACCCGUACCGUAAACCGACACAGGUGGAUGAGGAGAGAAUCCUAAGGCCGACGGGAGAAGCAUUGUUAAGGAACUCGGCAAAAUGACUCCGUAACUUCGGGAGAAGGAGUGCCAGUAAGAUGGCCGCAGAGAAUUGGCCCAAGCAACUGUUUAGCAAAAACACAGGUCUAUGCAAAACCGAAAGGUGAGGUAUAUGGGCUGACGCCUGCCCGGUGCUGGAAGGUUAAGGGGAGAGGUUAGCGCAAGCGAAGCUUUGAACUUAAGCCCCAGUAAACGGCGGCCGUAACUAUAACGGUCCUAAGGUAGCGAAAUUCCUUGUCGGGUAAGUUCCGACCCGCACGAAAGGCGUAAUGAUUUGGGCACUGUCUCAACAAUGCACCCGGUGAAAUUGAAAUACCAGUGAAGAUGCUGGUUACCUGCGCCAGGACGGAAAGACCCCAUGGAGCUUUACUCCAGCUUGAUACUGGGAUUCGGUAUUGCAUGUACAGGAUAGGUGGGAGGCUAGGAAAUGGUAACGCCAGUUGCCAUGGAGCCGAUGUUGGGAUACCACCCUUGCAGUACUGGGUUUCUAACCAGCAGCCGUGAUCCGGCUGGGGGACAAUGUCAGGUGGGGAGUUUGACUGGGGCGGUCGCCUCCGAAAGGGUAUCGGAGGCGCUCAAAGGU
rnacentral:rRNA from 1 species